rnacentral:tRNA from 1 species
UCACAGGAUAGCUCAGUCGGUAGAGUAUGAGACUCGUAAUCUCAGGGUUGUGGGUUUGAGUCCCACAUUGGGCAAAA